rnacentral:rRNA from 1 species
GACGAACGCUGGCGGCGUGCUUAACACAUGCAAGUCGAGCGGUAAGGCCCUUCGGGGUACGACGAGCGGCGAACGGGUGAGUAACACGUGGGUGACCUGCCUCUAGCUCUGGGAUAAGCCUGGGAAACUGGGUCUAAUACCGGAUAUGACUCCACGGCGCAUGUUGUGGGGUGGAAAGCCUUGUGUGGCUAGAGAUGGGCCCGCGGCCUAUCAGCUUGUUGGUGGGGUGAUGGCCUACCAAGGCGACGACGGGUAGCCGGCCUGAGAGGGCGACCGGCCGACACUGGGACUGAGACACGACCCAGACUCCUACGGGAGGGCAGCAGUGGGAAAUCUUGCGCAAUGGGCGAAAGCCUGACGCAGCGACGCCGCGUGAGGGAUGACGGCCU